rnacentral:lncRNA from 1 species
GUCAACCUAGACACACACAAAAAUGUCUCAAUCUAGGAGCAACAUUUGCAUCAUAAUUUAAUACCUCCUUUCAAUUUUUGUAACAUUUGAUUUUAAUAUAUUAAUAACUUUUUGUUACAACAAGGUUAACAAUAAACAUCACUCUAACUUAAACACACUUAAAAUGGAACAAGUCUGAAUAAACAACACAAACAACAUAUAUCAAAAG